rfam:Dipodomys ordii contig_45531, whole genome shotgun sequence.
GAUGGCUCAGUGGUAGAGUGCUUGCCUUGCAUGCAUGAGGCCCUGGGUUCGAUUCCUCAGCAUCA